rnacentral:tRNA from 1 species
GGAGAGGUGGCCGAGUGGCUGAAGGCAACGGUUUGCUAAAUCGUCAUACGGUUUACCCCGUAUCGUGGGUUCGAAUCCCACCCUCUCCGCCA